UCCCUGGUGGCUCAGAGGUUAAAGCGUCUGCCUGCAAUGCGGGAGACCCGGGUUCGAUCCCUGGGUGGGGAA
rnacentral:tRNA from 1 species